rnacentral:rRNA from 1 species
GACGAACGCUGGCGGCGUGCUUAACACAUGCAAGUCGAACGGAAAGGCCCUGCCUUUGUGGGGUGCUCGAGUGGCGAACGGGUGAGUAACACGUGAGUAACCUGCCCUUGACUUUGGGAUAACUUCAGGAAACUGGGGCUAAUACCGGAUAGGAGCUCCUGCUGCAUGGGGGGGGUUGGAAAGUUUCGGCGGUUGGGGAUGGACGCGCGGCUUAUCAGCUUGUUGGUGGGGUAGUGGCUUACCAAGGCUUUGCCGGGUAGCCGGCCUGGGUGGGGGCCCGGCCACUUUGGGCCUGGGAUACGGCCCGGACUCCUACGGGAGGCAGCGGUGGGGAAUAUUGCACAAUGGGCGGAGGCCUGAUGCAGCAACGCCGCGUGCGGGAGGACGGCCUUCGGUUUGUAAACCGCUUUCGCCGGUGACGAAGCGUGAGUGACGGUAAUGGGUAAAGAAGCACCGGCUAACUACGUG